ensembl:lncRNA AABR07052327.1
CCUCCAUGCCGACCCCCGCCGCUUCCCCGGCCCGGUCGGGGCGAGGCCGGGAGUGGUGUCAAGUGCGUAAGCGAAGCCCUUAGCCUCCGAGGAGAGAUUUCACAGGAACGAAGCGCCUCGUGCUGAAAGACGAGCCUUAGCUGCUCUUAGCAAGCUUAAAAACACCGGGGAGGUCGUUUCCCUCGCAGCUCCGCCAUCUGCUGUGUGGACUGAGUCAGCGUGAGAUCAAGAAGAUGAGAGUCUCUCUGAGAAGACAGACAAAACAGUGUUUAAUAUUCCUUCUCCCCACCCCUGUAUACUUGGUUUGUGA